GACAGAGGGUGCAAACGUUGUUCGGAUUUACUGGGCGUAAAGCGCGUGUAGGCGGCUUUGCAAGUCGGAUGUGAAAGCCCACGGCUCAACCGUGGAAGUGCAUCCGAAACUGCAGUGCUUGAGUACCGGAGAGGGUGACGGAAUUCCCCAAGUAGAGGUGAAAUUCGUAGAUAUGGGGAGGAACACCGGUGGCGAAGGCGGUCACCUGGACGGAUACUGACGCUGAGACGCGAAAGCGUGGGGAGCAAACAGG
rnacentral:rRNA from 1 species